ACCAGGGUGGUGUAGUGGUUUAAGCGCUGGGCUACAACUCUGGAGACUAGGGUUCAAAUCCCUGCUCAGCCA